UUGCAAGUGAGUCAAGUUUCAGCACUGGGAAAAGGGUAAUAGAUCCAUACAGAAGCUCUUUAAACCCAAAAACAGUUGAAAAACUAAUAUGUCUUCAAAAUUGGUUGAAGGCUGAUGCCAUUAUGGGGUUGUAGUACAUUCCAACUAUAGAGGAAAUGGAGUCAUAUGAACAGAUUGAAGCUGACCAUGAAAAAAAGGAUAGAGAGAAUGAUAAGAAGGGCAAGAACACUAUUGCUGCUGCAUCUGCAUCUGCAUCUGCACCAAGUGGCAGAGCAACCAAGAGUUCUGAGGCUUCGGCUUCAGCCCCUACAACCAAGAAGAAAAAGCAGAAAAAAUGAUUCAAUUCACUCAAUAAUCAAGGCUGCAUAAAGAUUUAGUAUUGACGGAAGGCUGGAAGCAUUGUUGGCUUGUUGCAUAUUGUUGG